rnacentral:rRNA from 1 species
GAAACCUUUGCAAUAGGCGAAAGCCUGACAAGGUUACUCUGAGUGAUUUCCGCUAAGGGGAUCUUUUGACACCUCUAAAAACGGUGUAGAAUAAGGGGUGGGCAAGUCUGGUGUCAGCCGCCGCGGUAA